CCUACGGGAGGCAGCAGUGGGGAAUUUUGGACAAUGGGCGCAAGCCUGAUCCAGCAAUGCCGCGUGAGUGAAGAAGGCCUUCGGGUUGUAAAGCUCUUUUGUCAGGGAAGAAACGGUAGGGGCUAAUAUCCUUUACUAAUGACGGUACCUGAAGAAUAAGCACCGGCUAACUACGUGCCAGCAGCCGCGGUAAUACGUAGGGUGCAAGCGUUAAUCGGAAUUACUGGGCGUAAAGCGUGCGCAGGCGGUUUUUGUAAGUCUGUCGUGAAAGCCCCGGGCUCAACCGGGGAAUUGCGAUGGAGACUGCAAGGCUUGAAUCUGGCCAGGGUAGGGGUAGUACUCCGAGU
rnacentral:rRNA from 1 species